rnacentral:rRNA from 1 species
GACGAACCGUGCAAACGUUGUUCGGAAUCACUGGGCUUAAAGGGCGCGUAGGCGGCUUGCCAAGUCAGGGGUGAAAUCUUUCGGCUUAACCGGAAAAGCCUUUGAUACUGGCAAGCUUGAGGGAGGUAGGGGCAUGUGGAACUUCCGGUGGAGCGGUGAAAUGCGUUGAUAUCGGAAGGAACGCCGGUGGCGAAAGCGACGUGCUGGAUCUCUUCUGACGCUGAGGCGCGAAAGCUAGGGGAGCGAACGGG